rnacentral:lncRNA from 10 species
AAUAGGUGAAGGGUGGGGACCAAUCAGAGGAAAACAUGCCAAAUGGGAAGACAAGUUCCCAAUCUGGUCAGAGGAUUUAACUUGCAGCUUGGCUUUCAGGCUUUAAACUGUCUUCGGCUUGAAGGUGGGGUUUUGCCAUGGGCCCACCCCUAUCUGCCUAGGCAUUUGUCUGCCUCUAUCAAUGUCAGAAUGAAGACUGGGAGACCUGCUGCUCCUUCCAUUGGCCGGUGAAGACCAUGUGACAGUGGGUGUCUUCAGCCUGACACGUGAUAUCCUACUCCCAGUGACAGCAUCCAUGAAACAGAAUGGCAUGGAGAGCAUCAGCACCCUGCAUAAAGGACAGCAUCCCUCUUCAUCAGCAGUGUCUAACCAUUCAUUCACCCAGGAAAAACUUACUGCACACCUACCUUCUCCUCAGAACUAGAAAACGAUGAUGAAUCAGACCUGGUUCCUCCACUGUAGUGAACAGAAAGGCCCAUCUGUCUCCCGCCUCCUAGAAUAGACACUAGGCUUCCAGCGGCUUGACUGUCAUUGUUACUGUCUAUGGAAUGAAUCUUACUCUGGAAGGAGAUUGGACUUUGGAACAGGCUGACCUGAAUUCAGAUCCCAGCUCCACCACUGACAAACUGUGUAACCACUGGCAAUGAAUACAACCUCUCUCAGCCUCCGGUUCCCUAUCAAAAACACCGUGGUAAUACUGUUAUCUUCAGAAAGUUGUUGAGAAGAUUAAAUAAAAUUGUGUUAAUAAACCAAAG